UACAGAGGGUGCAAGCGUUGUUCGGAAUUACUGGGCGUAAAGCGUGCGUAGUCGGUAUUGAGAGUCGCGGGUGAAAUCCCAGGGCUUAACCCUGGAACUGCCUGCGAGACCUCAGUACUAGAGUGUGAGAGGGGAUAGUGGAAUACCAAGUGUAGCGGUGAAGUGCGUAGAGAUUUGGUAGAACACCGGUGGCGAAGGCGGCUAUCUGGCUCACAACUGACGAUCAGGCACGAAAGCGUGGGGAGCAAACAGG
rnacentral:rRNA from 1 species